UUUUGAUUUUGAAGGGUACCCACGAUUCUUCUUCCUCGUUUGAGUCGAUUAAUGGAAGCAAUUUUGGAUUUUGGCAAUGGUUCUUGAGUUACCCCUGAUUUGGAUAAAUGGUGUGUUGUGCUGUUAUAAGGUGAUGGAAAUGGAUGAAGGAGAAGGAACAAAAUAAAAAAAAAAAUAUUGGGUUUUUAUUUAUUUAUUUAUUUGAGUGAGUUGGUUUUGGCUUUUCUUUUCUUUAGAAAAAAUCACUUUUUUUUUCUCUCUCUUUUGUGCUGUGUUUUGGAAUCUUGUUUUUUUCUUGGAGGAAUGGGUUGAAGAUGGUGACAACUCUUUUGGGUUUUAUUCCUUAGAGACACAAGAAAAAAAUUUCAAGAAUUGAUUUGAAUUUUUAAAAAAAAUGGUUGAAAGAUAUAUAUGGAGAGAGAAAGGAUGAAACUUUAUAAGCAAUGUGAAUGAAGGAGAGUAUAGGAAUUGAAGGGUUAAUUUUUAAUGUUCUAGGACUUAGAUUUUGUCUCUUUAUUCUUAUGUUCCUCCUCCUUUUGCAAUGCUUAUU